rnacentral:rRNA from 1 species
GUACUGUGCGAACGGUUAUUCGGGAAUCACUGGGCUUAAAGGGUGCGUAGGCGGUUAAUUAAGUAGGGGGGUGUGAAAGCUCUCGGGCCCAACCGAGGGAAUUGCGCUCUAAACUGAUUAACUUGAGUGAGAUAGGGGUGUGCGGAACUUCCAGUGGAGCGGUGAAAUGUGUUGAUAUUGGAAGGAACGCCGGUGGCGAAAGCGGCACACUGGGUCUCAACUGACGCUGAGGCACGAAAGCCAGGGUAGCGAACGGGAUUAGAUACCCCGGUAGUCCUGGCUGUAAACGAUGAGCACUAGACGGGAGGAGCUUCGGCUCAUCCGGUCGCAGCGAAAGCAAUAAGUGCUCCGCCUGGGGAGUAUGGUCGCAAAGGCUG